UGGCGCUGCCAGGCACCCCGCAGCUGCUGAGGGGGGCAGCCAGCCUGGGCAGAAGCCCAUGGGAGAGGAGCCCGUGUCUGGAGCCUGUCCCCAGCGGAGGAGGAGGAGUCUGGUGGAGAAAAGGGGCUAUGCGGAACGUUUUCAUGACCAGCUCAAGGCCCAGGCCCAGAAAGCCCAGCCUACUGAAGUUACUUCUGGAGGACUAGGUGCCCCGGAACUCCCCCUACUGGUGAAGAAGAGAGGUGACAGAAGAUAGUCAAUUCAGCAAGGGUUGAGAGGUAAGCACUGUGGCUUGCAUGUGAGUGUGUACAAAUGUGUGUGUGUGUUUGUGUGUGUGUAUUCACUAAAGUAAGACAAACAGCAGAGGACACACUCAUUCACCUGAAAAAUAGAAACCCUUAAGCUAAAACAAGUAGACUCUCUCUCAUUUAAUUUGCAUAAUGUGAACAACUGCAAACCAUGACAAGUAUAACUGCAAACAUUGGAUUAUAAUGGAUUAUUUGAAUGAACGGAUGAAUGGAUUAUAAUGAACAGGCACUACAGAGGAUGGUUGUGGGUGAUGGGAUGGGGUGAAUUUUAGCAUCAGCAACAUAUCUCGAAAGGGCAAAAUGACUGAACCAGUCCCAAUUCACCACGUGGAAGGUAGCCCUAGAUGGAUGAACCUGGGAGAUGUCAGACAGCUACAAUGAUAAAUUGUUUGUCCUCAGUACAACAAUUACUAUUUCAGAGCAAUUCUAGGGUGCAUCGGGCAAUUUUAUGACACACAAUGCAUCACUGCACCACAUGGUCUUCUGUAACACCAAAGAAGUCAUGCUGAGUCACCAUGACGUCAUGUGACGUCUGUUGUCAGUGUGUGUGUGUGUGUGUGUGUGUGUGAGAGAGAGAGAGAGAGAGAGAGAGAAGUAGCAUAUAGCGUGUUACACAUUCAUAUAACUGACACUGUACGUAACAGGAUGAGUAAUGUGUGUGCUAUUCAGCUGGAAAGAAGGGAGAACCUAAAAGAGGCCAAAGGAGAUGCACUGUAGACUUCAAUAACCAUGAAGACUUCAUCCUGACUUUUCCACUUUACAUUGCAGUGGAACAGCCCUCGACUCGCCAUGCCGUGGACACAAAUAACAAGUCUCACCUCAGUGCAGAGAGACAAAGUAAAAGGAGCAAGAGAGAGAGAGAGAGAGAGACAGAGAGAGAGAGAGAGAGAGAGAUAGAGAGAUGUUGCUUUUUAU
rnacentral:lncRNA from 1 species